CCUACGGGAGGCAGCAGUGAGGAAUAUUGGUCAAUGGGCGGGAGCCUGAACCAGCCAAGCCGCGUGAGGGAUGAAGGUCCAGCGUAUCGUAAACCUCUUUUGUCAGGGAACAAAGGCGGGGACUCAUCCCCGCAUGAGUGUACCUUACGAACAAGCAUCGGCUAACUCCGUGCCAGCAGCCGCGGUAAUACGGAGGAUGCGAGCGUUAUCCGGAUUUAUUGGGUUUAAAGGGUGCGCAGGCGGCCUGUUAAGUCAGCGGUAAAAGCCCGGGGCUCAACCCCGGCGUGCCGUUGAAACUGGGGGGCUGGAGUGGGAGAGAGGUACGCGGAAUGCGCGGUGUAGCGGUGAAAUGCUUAGAUAUCGCGCAGAACCCCGAUUGCGAAGGCAGCGUACCGG
rnacentral:rRNA from 1 species